rnacentral:misc_RNA from 1 species
UCUCCGUUGGUGAACCAGCGGAGGGAUCAUUACCGAGUGCAAACUCAUAACCCUUUGUGAACCUAUAUCUGUUGCUUCGGCGGCUCGCUCUCGGGCGAGCCCGCCGGUAAUAUCAGUAUCUCUGUUUGAACCCGACGAUACUUCUGAGUGUUCUUAGCGAACAGUUAAAACUUUUAACAACGGAUCUCUUGGCUCUAGCAUGAUGAAGAACGCAGC